rnacentral:rRNA from 1 species
GAUGAACGCUGGCGGCGUGCCUAAUACAUGCAAGUCGAGCGAAUGGAUUAAGAGCUUGCUCUUAUGAAGUUAGCGGCGGACGGGUGAGUAACACGUGGGUAACCUGCCCAUAAGACUGGGAUAACUCCGGGAAACCGGGGCUAAUACCGGAUAACAUUUUGAACCGCAUGGUUCGAAAUUGAAAGGCGGCUUCGGCUGUCACUUAUGGAUGGACCCGCGUCGCAUUAGCUAGUUGGUGAGGUAACGGCUCACCAAGGCAACGAUGCGUAGCCGACCGGAGAGGGGGAUCGGCCACACUGGGACUGAGACACGGCCCAGACCCCUACGGGAGGCAGCAGUAGGGAAUCGUCCGCGAUGGACGAAAGUCUGACGGAGCAACGCCGCGUGAGUGAUGAAGGCUUUCGGGUCGUAAAACUCUGUUGUUAGGGAAGAACAAGUGCUAGUUGAAUAAGCUGGCACCUUGACGGUACCUAACCAGAAAGCCACGGCUAACUACGUGCCAGCCGCCGCAGUAA